rnacentral:rRNA from 1 species
AGAGAGAGACAUGCGCGCAUAUCAAUAAGCGGAGGAAAAGAAACUAACAAGGAUUCCCUUAGUAACGGCGAGUGAAGCGGGAAGAGCUCAAAUUUGAAAUCUUCAAGGUUUUACCUUGACGAAUUGUAGUUUAAAGAAGUGUUUUCUGCUGAAGUUUUGGUAAAAGUUCUUUGGAAUAGGACAUCAUAGAGGGUGAGAAUCCCGUAUUUGACCAUUAUUUUCAGCUUUGUGAUACACUUUCAAAGAGUCGGAUUGUUUGGGAAUGCAGUCCAAAAUGGGUGGUAAAUUUCAUCUAAAGCUAAAUAUUGGCGAGAGACCGAUAGCGAACAAGUACCGUGAGGGAAAGAUGAAAAGAACUUUGAAAAGAGAGUUAAACAGUACGUGAAAUUGUCAAAAGGGAAGCGUUUGACACCAGUGUUGUUUUCUCGAAAAUCAAUUAAAAAUGGCUCGAUUUUGUAUUGUUGAGACCUUAAAAGCUCACUGUACAUUUUUCGUGUCUUUUUUAAUGCACUUUUCGUUUAACAAGUCAACAUCAGUUUCUUUUGUUGUAAAAGGGUCAUUGGAAGGUGGCUUUCUUUUCGGAGAAAGUGUUUAUAGCCUUUGGCCUCUGCAAUCGGGAGAGACUGAGGUCUGCAGCGUAGACUCUUCGGGGUUAGAUACAUUUGUGCUAAGUUAUAGCUUUUUAUAGACAACUUGUUGACUAUAAUUAGUCUUGUAGCUUACUCGCUUAUGCUAUUUUACCUACGCUUAGGAUGUUGAGUCGUAGAGCACGCAG